CUUUUUUGCACUUUAUUCUUAUCCUCCUCCUUCGGCUCACCUCCCCUUAUAAAAUAACCAGAUCAACCAGAAACCCUCCAUUGUAUUGGUUAACUUUGUUCAGACUCUGUUUUUCCAAUGAGCGAUCCUAAAUAUGGUUACCCAUAUCCCCCCCAAGGUUAUUACCAAGGGCCCCCUGUAAUGGCACCUCCUCAAUAUGCUGCUCCACCACCUAGAGCAGAACCAGGAUUCCUUGAAGGAUGUCUUGCGGCUCUCUGUUGCUGUUGUCUCUUAGAUGAGUGUUGCUGUGACCCCUCCAUCAUGUUCGUGAGUUGAGGAUGAUGGUUCUGAUUCUGAUCUUUAUAGUGAAUUCUUCUCGACUUCUUGAAUCUUUUUCUUCUUUCUCUUUAUGAUCAUCUUUUCUACCAUAAUAAUGCAAUUUAAUGUAAUAAUAUCAGAUAUAUUUUUCGUGAUUAGGUAAAGAUUGUUUGCCAUUUCAAUUA